CUUCACCGAACCCAACCACAACGGGCGGUCCCGCUCCUGACCGUAGGCGGCGAGCAGCGCAUUGGCCUC
rnacentral:antisense_RNA from 1 species